GGAUCUCACCGCGAGGAAGGCACCCUGCUGCCUGCACUUAUUUGCAUCCAAGAGUUUGCAUUGAGACUGGCGCUUGCCUACUAGGUCAGCCACAGGGGGGUUCCCCAGGGACAGAGAUUAUGUCUACUUUGAGAAUUCCUCCAGCAACCCAUACCUAAUAAGAAGAAUAGAAGAACUCAACAAGACUGCAAGUGGCAACGUGGAAGCAAAAGUAGUAUGCUUUUAUAGACGACGUGAUAUUUCCAACACACUUAUAAUGCUCGCAGAUAAGCAUGCUAGGGAAAGUGCAGUGUUGCCCUUCUGAAUGAGACAGAAUCAGUAUUGUCAUAUCUUGAUAAGGAGGAUACCUUCUUCUACUCAUUGGUCUAUGACCCCUCAUUGAAAACACUAUUAGCUGACAAAGGUGAAAUCAGAGUGGGGCCUAGAUAUCAAGCAGACAUUCCAGAAAUGCUGUUAGAAGGAGAAUCAGAUGAGAGGGAACAGUCAAAAUUGGAAGUUAAAGUUUGGGAUCCAAAUAGCCCACUUACGGAUCGACAGAUUGACCAGUUUUUAGUUGUAGCACG
rnacentral:sRNA from 1 species